CAGGGCGAAGGGUGGGUACCUCCUUACCAAAGCCUGAUGUAGGUUAUGUGCAGUGUCCACAACAGAUUGUCUGAUGAAAAUAAAGAAGAAAAACUUCUUAAUGGGUUUGGGUCUCGUGGGGUUAGAGCGCCCCCCUGAAGAGGGUGGUGGCGGGGGGUCGAGUUCUCUUGCCCCCACCAAAUUUUUCCCCGUGGUGCUUUGCCAUACCACUCAUACCCGAGAAUAUCCUUCCAUUUCCCACCUUGUCCUAAAAAAAAAAUAAACUCCUCUAAGAGGUGCAAAAGGGAUUUGUGAAUGUCUCUUUUACGGUUAUAGAUCAGCUGGAAGAGCGACUGUUUUGCGCAACGGAGACCUGCGGUGCUAUACCGCAUACCUCCACCAUAUAAAGACAUUUCAGAGUAUUGUGAACACUAUGUUCUGAAGAAUUUUGUUUUUUAACAAUCUGGAACAUUCGAAAUUUUAAAUGAUAUGGCUAAACAUAUCUCUCUCCGUACAACUGAGAUAUGAGUUUUCUGUAUCACAGACUCUCUAAUAAUCUCCGCGCGAAAGAGACUUGAUGAAUCCUACACACCGUCAGGUUGUGAGACUAAGCGACUACGGGUAAUCCGUGGAUACCUUGUCAUCUCCUUUUCCUCCCUU
rnacentral:misc_RNA from 2 species